GAGCUUCUCUCGGCGACUGAAAUAUGCCUUCACUGUGUGCCGAGGACGAGGAUCUGUGGACGACCAGGACAACGUCAUCGUCGGGAUCAUCCGGAUCUUCGAUGACAUCGUCAAAACUUUCCUCGAGAGCAGAACGGGAGAGCAGCAACAUGCGAGGAAGAUCGCGGGAAAGGGGGAGGCAGGAAAGGGAGCAGCUGCUACCGCUG
rnacentral:SRP_RNA from 1 species